CCUACGGGUGGCUGCAGUCGAGGAUCUUCGGCAAUGGGCGCAAGCCUGACCGAGCGACGCCGCGUGCGGGAUGAAGGCCUUCGGGUUGUAAACCGCUGUCGAGGGGGAGGAAAGCCGCAAGGCUUGACCUAUCCCUGGAGGAAGCACGGGCUAAGUUCGUGCCAGCAGCCGCGGUAAGACGAACCGUGCGAACGUUGUUCGGAUUCACUGGGCUUAAAGGGCGCGUAGGCGGCUUGCCAAGUCCGGGGUGAAAUCUUUCGGCUCAACCGGAAAAGUGCCUUGGAUACUGGCAGGCUCGAGGGUGGUAGGGGUCACGGGAACGACCAGUGGAGCGGUGAAAUGCGUUGAUAUUGGUAGGAACGCCGGUGGCGAAAGCGCGUGACUGGACCACCUCUGACGCUGAGGCGCGAAAGCUAGGGAAGCAAACGGGAUUAGAUACC
rnacentral:rRNA from 1 species